rnacentral:snRNA from 1 species
UGGCAGAAUCAGCGGGGA